GAUGAACGCUGGCGGCGUGCUUAACACAUGCAAGUCGAGCGAAGCAGUUAAGAAGAUUCUUCGGAUGAUCCUUAACUGACUGAGCGGCGGACGGGUGAGUAACGCGUGGGUGACCUGCCCCAUACCGGGGGAUAACAGCUGGAAACGGCUGCUAAUACCGCAUAAGCGCACAGAGCUGCAUGGCUCGGUGUGAAAAACUCCGGUGGUAUGGGAUGGGCCCGCGUCUGAUUAGGCAGUUGGCGGGGUAACGGCCCACCAAACCGACGAUCAGUAGCCGGCCUGAGAGGGCGACCGGCCACAUUGGGACUGAGACACGGCCCAAACUCCUACGGGAGGCAGCAGUGGGGAAUAUUGCACAAUGGGGGAAACCCUGAUGCAGCGACGCCGCGUGAGCGAAGAAGUAUUUCGGUAUGUAAAGCUCUAUCAGCAGGGAAGAUAAUGACGGUACCUGACUAAGAAGCCCCGGCUAACUACGUGCCAGCAGCCGCGGUAAUACGUAGGGGGCAAGCGUUAUCCGGAUUUACUGGGUGUAAAGGGAGCGUAGACGGCAAGGCAAGUCUGAUGUGAAAACCCAGGGCUUAACCCUGGGACUGCAUUGGAAACUGUCUGGCUCGAGUGCCGGAGAGGUAAGCGGAAUUCCUAGUGUAGCGGUGAAAUGCGUAGAUAUUAGGAAGAACACCAGUGGCGAAGGCGGCUUACUGGACGGUAACUGACGUUGAGG
rnacentral:rRNA from 1 species